UACGAAGGGGGCUAGCGUUGCUCGGAAUCACUGGGCGUAAAGCGCACGUAGGCGGCUUGUUAAGUCAGGGGUGAAAUCCUGGAGCUCAACUCCAGAACUGCCUUUGAUACUGAGGAUCUUGAGUUCGGGAGAGGUGAGUGGAACUGCGAGUGUAGAGGUGAAAUUCGUAGAUAUUCGCAAGAACACCAGUGGCGAAGGCGGCUACCUGGACCAGCACUGACACUGAGGCACGAAAGCGUGGGGAGCAAACAGGG
rnacentral:rRNA from 1 species